CCUACGGGAGGCAGCAGUGAGGAAUAUUGGUCAAUGGACGAGAGUCUGAACCAGCCAAGUAGCGUGAAGGAUGACUGCCCUAUGGGUCGUAAACUUCUUUUAUAUGGGAAUAAAAUGUUCCACGUGUGGGAUUUGGUAGGUAACAUAUGAAUAAGGAUCGGCUAACUCCGGGCCAGGAGCCGCGGUAAUACGGAGGAUCGGAGCGUUAUCCGGAUUUAUUGGGUUUAAAGGGAGCGUAGGGGGAUUGUUAAGGCCGGUGUGAAAGUUUGCGGCUAAACCGUCAAAUUGCAGUUGAAACUGGCAGUCUUGAGUACAGUAGAGGUAGGCGGAAUUCGUGGUGUAGCGGUGAAAUGCUUAGAUAUCACGAAGAACUCCGAUUGCGAAGGCAGUUCACUGGACUGCAACUGACACUGAGGCUCGAAAGUGUGGGUAUCAAACAGGAUUAGAUACCCGUGUAGUC
rnacentral:rRNA from 1 species